rnacentral:rRNA from 1 species
UUGGAGGGCAAGUCUGGUGCCAGCAGCCGCGGUAAUUCCAGCUCCAAUAGCGUACAUUAAAGUUGUUGCAGUUAAAAAGCUCGUAGUUGAAUUUCGGAGUUUGUCGGUUGGUCGGGCUUCACUGUUCGCACUGGCCUGAUGGAUUCCUACCUUCUGAAUAACCAGCAUGCUAUUAAUUUAGUGUGUUGGGGAAGCAGAGCUAUUACCUUGAAAAAAUUAGAGUGCUUAAAGCAGGCUUACGCUUGAAUAGAUUAGCAUGGAAUAAUAAAAUAGGACGGCAUGGUUCUAUUUUGUUGGUUUCUAGGAUCACCGUAAUGAUUAAUAGGGAUAGUUGGGGGCAUUAGUAUUCAAUUGUCAGAGGUGAAAUUCUUGGAUUUAUUGAAGACUAGCUUCUGCGAAAGCAUUUGCCAAGGAUGUUUUCAUUAAUCAAGAACGAAAGUUAGGGGAUCGAAGACGAUCAGAUACCGUCGUAGUCUUAACCAUAAACUAUGCCGAUUAGGGAUCGGACGAUGUUAAUUUUUUAAUGACUCGUUCGGCGCCUUACGGGAAAC